GGCUGUUGGAAGUUAGCGAGUUACCUCAAAGGAUGUUCAGUUACAGGUUAAGUUCCUUAUUCUACUCUUUCCCCUCUUCUCACCACUGUACUUGACCAGUCAAAA
ensembl:Y_RNA Y_RNA Y RNA